GAACGCUAGCUACAGGCUUAACACAUGCAAGUCGAGGGGCAGCAUGGUCUUAGCUUGCUAAGGCCGAUGGCGACCGGCGCACGGGUGAGUAACACGUAUCCAACCUGCCGUCUACUCUUGGACAGCCUUCUGAAAGGAAGAUUAAUACAAGAUGGCAUCAUGAGUCCACAUGUUCACAUGAUUAAAGGUAUUCCGGUAGACGAUGGGGAUGCGUUCCAUUAGAUAGUAGGCGGGGUAACGGCCCACCUAGUCUUCGAUGGAUAGGGGUUCUGAGAGGAAGGUCCCCCACAUUGGAACUGAGACACGGUCCAAACUCCUACGGGAGGCAGCAGUGAGGAAUAUUGGUCAAUGGGCGAGAGCCUGAACCAGCCAAGUAGCGUGAAGGAUGACUGCCCUAUGGGUUGUAAACUUCUUUUAUAAAGGAAUAAAGUCGGGUAUGCAUACCCGUUUGCAUGUACUUUAUGAAUAAGGAUCGGCUAACUCCGUGCCAGCAGCCGCGGUAAUACGGAGGAUCCGAGCGUUAUCCGGAUUUAUUGGGUUUAAAGGGAGCGUAGAUGGAUGUUUAAGUCAGUUGUGAAAGUUUGCGGCUCAACCGUAAAAUUGCAGUUGAUACUGGAUAUCUUGAGUGCAGUUGAGGCAGGCGGAAUUCGUGGUGUAGCGGUGAAAUGCUUAGAUAUCACGAAGAACUCCGAUUGCGAAGGCAGCCUGCUAAGCUGCAACUGACAUUGAGGCUCGAAAGUGUGGGUAUCAAACAGGAUUAGAUACCCUGGUAGUCCACACGGUAAACGAUGAAUACUCGCUGUUUGCGAUAUACAGCAAGCGGCCAAGCGAAAGCGUUAAGUAUUCCACCUGGGGAGUACGCCGGCAACGGUGAAACUCAAAGGAAUUGACGGGGGCCCGCACAAGCGGAGGAACAUGUGGUUUAAUUCGAUGAUACGCGAGGAAUCUUACCCGGGCUUAAAUUGCAGAUGAAUUACGGUGAAAGCCGUAAGCCGCAAGGCAUCUGUGAAGGUGCUGCAUGGUUGUCGUCAGCUCGUGCCGUGAGGUGUCGGCUUAAGUGCCAUAACGAGCGCAACCCUUGUUGUCAGUUACUAACAGGUCAUGCUGAGGACUCUGACAAGACUGCCAUCGUAAGAUGUGAGGAAGGUGGGGAUGACGUCAAAUCAGCACGGCCCUUACGUCCGGGGCUACACACGUGUUACAAUGGGGGGUACAGAGGGCCGCUACCACGCGAGUGGAUGCCAAUCCCCAAAACCUCUCUCAGUUCGGACUGGAGUCUGCAACCCGACUCCACGAAGCUGGAUUCGCUAGUAAUCGCGCAUCAGCCACGGCGCGGUGAAUACGUUCCCGGGCCUUGUACACACCGCCCGUCAAGCCAUGGGAGCCGGGGGUACCUGAAGUGCGUAACCGCGAGGAGCGCCCUAGGGUAAAACUGGUGACUGGGG
rnacentral:rRNA from 1 species